AUUGAACGCUGGCGGCAUGCCUUACACAUGCAAGUCGAACGGCAGCACGGGGGCAACCCUGGUGGCGAGUGGCGAACGGGUGAGUAAUAUAUCGGAACGUGCCCUAGAGUGGGGGAUAACGUAGCGAAAGUUACGCUAAUACCGCAUACGAUCUACGGAUGAAAGCGGGGGAUCGCAAGACCUCGCGCUCAUGGAGCGGCCGAUAUCUGAUUAGCUAGNGGUAGGUAAAGCCUACCAAGGCAUCGAUCAGUAGCUGGUCUGAGAGGACGACCAGCCACACUGGGACUGAGACACGGCCCAGACUCCUACGGGAGGCAGCAGUGGGGAAUUUUGGACAAUGGGGGCAACCCUGAUCCAGCAAUGCCGCGUGAGUGAAGAAGGCCUCGGUU
rnacentral:rRNA from 1 species